rnacentral:lncRNA from 1 species
GUCAAUUUCUGCUGUACAGCAAAGUGACCCAGUCAUACAUAUGUAUGUAUAUGUGUAUGUAUAUAUAUAGACACACAUUCUUUUUCUCAUAUCAUCUUCCAUUAUGUUCUAUCACAAGAGACUGGAUAUAGUUUCCUGUACUAUAUAGCAGGACCUCAUUGCUUAUUGCUUAUUAUUUUAUUUUUAUUUUUUGUCUUUUUAGGGCUGCACCUGUGGCCUAUGGAGGUUCCCAGGAUAGGGGCCAAAUCGGAGCUAUAGCUGCCUGGCCUACACAACAGCUACGGCAAUGCCAGAUUCUUAACCCGCUGAUCCAGGCAAGGGAUUGAACCUGAGUCCUCAUGGAUACUAGCAAGGUUCAUUAUCACUGAGCGAGAACUUUGCUUUUCCCUUUUAAAUGUAAUAGUUCGCAUCUACUACCCCCAAACUUCCAGGCUAUCCCACUGUCUCUCCCAAUCCCUUUGGCAACCUCAAGUCUUUUCUCCAUGUUGGUGACUCUGUUUCUGUUCUGUUGAUAGGCACACUUGUGCCACAUUUUAGAUUCUACAUAUAGGUGAUAUCAUACAGUGUUUGUCUUUCUGUGACUCUAGGGUUUGAGGAGAGGUCUGGGGUAGAUCAACAUUUAAGAAUCUCUGACCUGUGCACCGUAUUUAAAGCCCUGGGUAAGAUCACUAUGGAAGUGAGUCUAGAUGGAUGAGAGAAGCAGCCAGAGGCCUCAGCUGUCCUGCCUCUCAAAGUGGUGCAAGAGGAACCCAUUGCACCUGAAGAAAUCAAAGCUGAGGGAGUCAAGCAAUUGGCUUCACAGUGAGCAGCAGAGAUGGGAAUCUAAGCUCAUUGGUCUGGCUCUGAAGUCUGCGUGAUUAACCCCUUAGCAAUAGUCCAAAGGCUGGAGCAAAGAAGUCUUUUCCUGGAGACAUGAAUCAUGGCUGGUUGGCCAGGGCCACACCUCUAACUAUGCUGGGAUAGCAAGCUGUGCCCUCAGGUUUGAGCAAAUAAGACACCUCACUUUUGCUGGUAGAACCAGACGACACAUCCAUCAGCUCCACCUGGUGUAGUACUCAAGGCCCUCGAGGGAGCCAGAAAGAUCUGGUAAUUAAGAAAGAUUCCUUUCCUGAGCUGCAGUGGGUCACAGUGACUGUCAGGGUUAAAAGAUUGAUGGCUUAAUAAAGACCACCUGAAAAGGCAAUUGACCAGCAAGGGAAAAAAAGCAUUGCCACACACCCACUACCGCAGAGUCUCCAUUCAGAGACCCUCCAGCAUAGCAAAGCUGCUUGGAACACUCUGCACCACACAGCACUUGGCCCCAUUUUAUAGCUGCGAACCAUCUUCAGCCACCACAGGAUGCCUCCCUUUAUUCUCUGCAGUGAUAAACGGGACUAUCUUCCUGGUUCCUUGACUGGAUAUGUAGAGGCUACAAGACGUGUCCCUUGCUCUCAGGAGUUCACCGUGUCAUGGGACCAUGACGAUGUUCAAGAUUCUCAAUAAGCCUAGGAUAUCCUUCUGCAAAAGUGCAUUUCUCUAGUGGCCUGGAGAACAAGAGCCCAGAGUGUAAUAGAUGCUUGACAAAUUAUCCAGGGGACUGUGUGUGGAGUCAUAGAGAAAGGGCUCAGAUCUGAGAAUUACGACCAGCCCUGCAGCUCCUCCUCUGCUAAAAAACUAGCUUCUUGACUUCAGAUAAGUCAUUCUUCUUGAAUCUUAGUUUGCCCAUCUGUCAAAAAAGGGGGUUAGAGUAAAUGAUCUUUGGAGAUCUUUGAGAUCUAGGACUGGGAUUUGAAAGGUUUGAAAACCCCAGUAAAAACUCUGUCCUAAAAUCCUGUUAAAUCCCCAAAGGUGUCUUUCACAGGACAGGCAUCCUAGAGGGUUUGAGAGGAGGGAGCAGCUGCAUGUCUCCUGCGUGCCAUCGGCCCUUCUCUUUGUCAAGCCAUCCCUUCCCCAGUACUCCUCAGAUCCCAGCUCCUCAGGGGUUCAGGCUGAUGGGAAACUUGGCUGGACAGGUUGUCAUAGGGCCUCCCAGCAGUGGCAAAAUGGAAAAUCUGUGUGUUACCCUUGCCUCUUCCAGUGUCUGCCAGCAUCAGUGCCUGUGUGGGUUGGGUAGAGCUUCCUCAUGCCUGGGGCCAAGUGGCACUGCAACUGUGAAUUCAGGCAGAUUAAGGCAGAUGGAGAAGAGGAAAGGUACUCUUUUCAUUAUAUACAUCCUGAAAGAGAACUUGCUAUAUAUGCAAGGAGGAAGUUGCUGUCUGGGGCUCCUCAUGAGGUGUUUUCCUAAGGCAGACCUUCUCUUGGGACUGCUCCCUCCGUCCGUGUUGCCAGCACAUCAGUUCUAGCCUGGCUUUUUUUCUCAGCAGGAUGAUUAUGAAGCCUCCAAAAAACAAAAGAAAGUUCCCAUUGUGGCUCAGCAGGCUAAGGGCCCGAAAUAGGCUCUGUGACAGUGUGGGUUUGAUCCCUGGCCUCGCUCAGUGGGUUCAGGAUCCGGCACUGGUUUCGAGCUGUGGCGUUAAGUCACAUAUGCAGCUCUGAUCUGGUGUUGCUGUGGCUGCGGUGUAGGCCAGCAGCUGCAGCUUGGAUUCCACCCCUAGCCUGGAAACUUCCUUAUGCUGCCGGUGUGGC